UAGCCUAAUGGUUAAGGCUAUGGAUCGGCAAUCCGGAGACGGCGGGUUCGAUUCCCGU
rnacentral:tRNA from 1 species